UUUAAGCUACAUUUAAGCUCGUAAAACCUGUAAUCUAAUAAUGGAUAAUUUUAGCAUCAGAAACAUUCAGAAUAUUCAACCAAUGUGUGCAGAUUAAUUACGCUUUCGUUAUCAAAAUAUACGACGUUAUACUUAAAUAUAUUUAUUGGGAGAUUCACAUCACGAGUGCGUCCGAAUAAACCAAUACCAACAAAACCGAGAGUAAACACUUCUCUCGAAACAGCAUUAAUGACCCAAAGCAGCGACAUCGCCAUGAGCUGUUGUCAAAAUCUGACCUUUCUAUUCCGGUUAAUUCCGGUUUGAUCGAGCCAAACUUGAACUGGAUAAUCGUCGAUGACUCAGACUCAGUGGAACGGUGGUAGCACUUCCGAAAAAAGUAUUCCGUUUUUCGUUGAAUUUCCACGAAAGAGAAAUACCGAUUGAUCUUGGAAUCAACUUUGCGGGUGUUUUAACAAUAGGGAUGAAGCAACGAGAAUGGGACUAUGUUUUGUAUCUAACUCAAGUGCAGUCCGUGGAUUAGAACAUUGCUUAAUAUAGAAGUAUUAAAUUAAGCUUUAAGUAUAUACAUGUCGCCGCAAGAAAACGGAAAUAGUUUGUUAGAAAUAAUCGUGAUGUAUAUUUUAAUAGCAAUAACACAUCGUCAUUAAAUUAGACAUUUUAGAAUUAAUAAAUAGAACAAAAUGUUGUACGUAGGAUCCGAUUCGUGAAAUGAAUUUAACGAUCCAUCACUCCAAUUGAGUGCUGUCUGCCAUAAUUGAGCAAUUUCUCGAACCCCAAACGUUAGAUUGUUUGUACAAUUUAAAAACUCUGCCUUUUGGCAACCAUAUUGAAUAAAUACUCUGUGAAUAUUUACAUUUAAUCUAUACCACGCUUUUACGCAAGAUCGGAUCUUAUUGUUUAAACAAUGUUUAGGUCUUUGCUUCAUCUUUUUUACAAACAACUGAUUACAUAUUAGUUUGGGGUAUAAUCGGUAUAUAUGGGAUAAGACGUUUAUUUUUGCUUUUAUCAUUUGGUUUUAAACAAAGAAUAUUUACAGAAAUGUAUAUAAACGUAUUCUUUCAACCCUAAAAUGGCGUGGUAAUUGUUAAAGUAAAACAUUCGGAAAUAUGGGAUAUUAUAUGCUAUAGUUAUCCCAUUUAUUAAACCCCAUACAUUUUUGUAAAUACUUUUUGUUUCUGUAAAUAUUUAUAUUUAAACUCUACACAGAUUUCAAGUAAGGUAAUAAAAUUGCAUGCAAUUAAGAGUUGCUUCUGUGGUAACAUUAAUACAAGAUCAGAUCAUACACAAACGCACUGCUGAAGCUUUUGGUUGUCUUUUCUAAGAACAGUCCAGAACAGAUAUCAAGAAAGAUAUUAAGAUUUUAUGCAAGAUAUUACGACAUGAAAGCGUUGCUGCUGUUGUAACAUAACGCCGACUAGGGAUUACUGGAUGAUUCACGUGUGGUGCAAGCCACGGGUACGACAACGCUGCAUUGGCUGUUAGCUUAAAUGGUAAAACGCCGUUGGUCGUUACGAAGCGGCCAUUACCGGUUAACCUUUACGAGCGAAUAAAAACUCAGCUAAGGCGUAGAAUUGCGUAAGAAUGCAGCUACUUAGUUCCGACACAGGUUUCAAGUUUAUAUAAAAAUAAACACACUUUUUGUGGGAAUUAUUUAUAUUGGCACUUUAUUGAAUAACUGCAUUUUGUCCGUAUCAGGAUAAGUGGUACAUACAUUUAGUAAAAAAAUCUAUGUAUAGUAAAUUAAAAAGACAUCUAAAAAUACGAAACAGGGUUGUGUUAAAAUGUUUAAAUUUAUACACAUCAGGCACCUCGUAUAUUGUUACCAAUCAUGGAUUACUGUGCGGUAUUUAUCAAUAAAAAUAAUUUCUCACGAAGGAUACAUGCCGUGUCUGUUUAUCCUUAUAUAAUACCGGGGGAUAUGGCCUUGAAUUCAAACCGCUAGAGUUUUUUAGGGUAAUCGCAAGGGUCAGCUAAGCCUAUGUGCAAUGGCCUAGUCUCACCUUGGACCCACUGCCUGCCUGAUCGCAGUGAAGGCCCUCGUGAGAUGGGCCAUUGCACAUCGGAUUAGCUGACCUUUGCGAUUACCCCAAAUGUGGGUAACUCGGUCGUAUAAUUUCUGUUAGUCGGGACUGCGAAAAAA